rnacentral:lncRNA from 1 species
AUGCAUAAUUGCACAAAAUAUUUCAGAAGUGAGAUGUUUAAAAAAAUUCAUGCAUGCAACCUUUCCCUUGGAAAUGUAUGUCAGUGGCUGAGAUGGUUACCCAAAACAGAAGAAAGAUGUUCUUUAUCAUGCUGGAAAACAAACGGAUUUCUUCUGAGGGACACAGAUGGUGUAUGUAUUGAGACACAGCAUGUCAUACUGCCUCUCCUGUUAUUCUGUUCUUGUGGUUUCAUCAUGGGAAGUAAACCGUUCUAUAAUUCCUACCUUGUUCUUCACUUCUCAUGCUGCGAAAAACCUGCACAUGGACUCUAGCUGAGGACUUACAUGAUGAAGAAAUCUAGAAAAGGAAAGAAGAAAAAGACUCCAGUAGAAUUUUGGGCUCCAUCCUGGAUUCUGUGAUAACUCCUUGUGCAAGUCUAAGAUGGUAAAGGGCUCUAGGACAGUAAAAGAAGAGUUAGUGGCAGAGGAGAACUAGAGCCAGGACUCUCAAAGGAAGCCCUCUCUAAAAAUCCCAUCAGCAGGAUUAAAGUAGCAUACUGGAAGCUGGCUGUGGAUCAGGCAAAGUAACACAAGCAUGGCUGGAAGAAGGGCUUGGAUCCAGGCUUGGAGGCAGUGUACAGGGGCUAACAAUAGAGUACAAGGUUGGGUAGCCCUUGAAUAGGAAGUUUUAUGAUGUGGUUAAAUGAAGCAGAGAAAAAGACUGGGGUAGAACAAUCUUCAACCUGAUAAGUAAUCACCACAGAGGAAGCUGUGAUGUGACAUUGUUAUGCCUAACACUAUACCUGCUGAAACCAGGCUUCAUCCUUCUGACUGAUGCAUCCUGCAUACUCAGAAAACCGGGAGCUGCUGGGUUCAUGGUUUUCUCUGUGAAAAAAAAAUAAUGCUGCUUAUUUGUGGCACUUCAAAUAAGAUAGUGUUGUUGUUAUUCAACACUUACUACUUCGCAAACCUUCCACAGGUUUAAUAAAUGGAAGCAGUUACCACCUGCUGUGAACA